UGCCUACGGGGCGCAGCAGUGGGGGAUAUUGCACAAUGGGGGGAACCCUGAUGCAGCAACGCCGCGUGAGCGAUGAAGUAUUUUGGUAUGUAAAGCUCUAUCAGCAGGGAAGAAAAUGACGGUACCUCAUGAAUAAGCCACGGCUAACUACGUGCCAGCGGCCGCGGUAAUACGUAGGUGGCAAGCGUUAUCCGGAUUUACUGGGUGUAAAGGGCGUGUAGGCGGGACUGCAAGUCUGAUG
rnacentral:rRNA from 1 species